UACGAACUGCGCAAACGUUAUUCGGAAUCACUGGGCUUACAGGGUGCGUAGGCGGCGGGGAAAGUAGGGUGUGAAAUGCCUUGCCUCAACCAAGGCACUGCGCUCUAAACUCCCUCGCUCGAGUGAGUCAGGGGUACGCGGAACUUCCGGUGGAGCGGUGAAAUGUGUUGAUAUCGGAAGGAACACCGGUGGCGAAAGCGGCGUACUGGGGCUUAACUGACGCUGAGGCACGAAAGCCAGGGGAGCGAACGGG
rnacentral:rRNA from 1 species